GUGAAGAACGUAGCGAAAUGCGAUAAGUAGUGUGAAUUGCAGAAUUCAGUGAAUCAUCGAAUCUUUGAACGCACAUUGCGCCCCUUGGUAUUCCAUGGGGCAUGCCUGUUCGAGCGUCAUUUGUACCUUCAAGCUUUGCUUGGUGUUGGGUGUUUGUCUCGCCUUUGCGUGUAGACUCGCCUUAAAAUAAUUGGCAGCCGGCGUAUUGAUUUCGGAGCGCAGUACAUCUCGCGCUUUGCACUCAUAACGACAGCGUCCAAAAGUACAUUUUACACUCUUGACCUCGGAUCAGGUAGGGAUACCCGCUGAACUUAAGCAUAUCAAUAGCGGAGGA
rnacentral:misc_RNA from 1 species